rnacentral:misc_RNA from 1 species
AUAUUAUGAAAGAAAUUGAAAUUGAGUGACUUUUAUAAAAACAUUCAUAAAAUUAAUUUUAUGAGUGAUCACUUGUGAUAUUUACCUUGUUUUUUUAAUAUUUAUAAUAGUAUUCCUCACUUAUCUUGUCCACAUUAGCCUAGCUUUCAAGCCCUAAAUUUUCCAUUAUGCUCCUCUGUUCAAAUUGUUUAUAACAAUAGGGUUCAUGUGGAGAUUUAUCUGACUAUUCCUAAGUUUGUUUUGUAAAAUUAAUCUUCAUUUUGAUAGUUGAUUGCAUGGAUUUUUUUUUCUUUCUUCUUUAAUUAGAGCCAAAAUCUAUAAAUUAAUGGAGGGAAAAACACUUUUUUCUCCCACGGGGCUUUUUGGGUAUUAAAAAAUUUUAAUUAGAUUGAUCAACUAGUAAUUCAUUUGAUUAACAGUGAAUUACCUUUGAUUCUGGUAUGAAUUAAUUUAUUGAAUUAUUAAAACAUUAAGAAUUAAAAAAGUAAUUUUUAUAAGUGCAAGGAUUAAACGGUAGAUUUUACUAAAUUUUAGAGGUUAAAUUAUUAGUUAGUCACAAAUAAAUCUUGAUGAACUGGAUAAUGAACCACAAGAUGCACGUACGACGACGUUUCUUUGAGGACAGUUUAGAGCCCGGCACUCUUUUUCCUUGGCCGCAAAGUCAGUCGGACAAUAAACCGGGUGAAGGAAAAGAAGACAGACGGAGAGGAGUUCAGAGAAGAGUGAAAGAAUGGAAACGCCAAAGACAAUUGCACAUGAAAUCGGAGGGAUCCAAAACGACGCUCUUCGAUUCGGCCUCCACGGCGUCAAAAGCGAUCUCGUCGGAGCUCACCCUCUCGAAUCCGCCUACCAAACUGCGAAGAAGACUCAAGAGGAGAUGAGAAGAAAAAUCCUUGCAAACACAUAUGGCUCUGCCUUUCCACUCAAGAUGGAUCUUGAUCGGCAAAUUCUUUCGCGAUUUCAGAGGCCACCAGGACCAAUUCCAUCUUCAAUGCUAGGCCUUGAGGCUCAUACAGGAAGAUUGGAUGAUUUUGGUUUUGAGGAUUAUCUGAAUGGUGAGUUGUUGUAUCUGAAUGCUGCAUAAAUGUUAUUUCAAAGUUGAUUCAUUUUUUUUGUUGAAGUUGCUUGUUUAAUAUAUGUACAAGCAGUUGAAAUUUUUGAAAUUACUCUUAAAUUUAAUGUCAAUAAAGUUGUCAGAAACUUUAUCCGCCCUUUACUGUUGUAAGAUGAUCAAGGUAGGUUCUUUAUCAUAGAUGGAUAUUACAAUUUUGGUCAUUUAUUUUAUAUAUGAUUUUAUAGCUUUUUUUUAAAGAUUUGUUUGGCAAGUAUAUUUGUGAGGAUUUCUUCAUUGUGAUGUUGGUGGAGCAAAGAGUGGAUCCCACGGGGGAUUGAGCUAUUCCUCUUUUUCUUUAUUUCUUUUUAUGGAUGUAAGAGCCUUGGUUUGGAAUUGCCGAGGGGCAACUAGUGGUACUGUGGUAUCUUCUUUUGAAUUAUAAAGGAAUGGGUGUUUAGAUAUAAAAUUAAUCUUCUUCAUUACAUAUGGCGUCUCUUAUCCUAGGUUGUGUUUGAUGUAAUUCUUCUUGUUCUCUUUCCCUUUCUUCCAAAAAAUUUUGAGCUGGCGAGGUGUUUUAUGUGAUAACCAGCUUGUAGUUCCUAAUGAAAUUCUGAACACAAGUUUUGUUAAACUUUCCUUGCCUUGGUCAUUUGUGCGCCUGGUUAAAUUUGGAAACUUGCUAUCAAAUGAACAAUAGAAUGGUAUUUGAUAGUUUUCUGGCUGUGACUUUGUUGAUUUAAGUCUUCCCUGGGUGUUGCUUGCAGAUCCUCGUGAAUCUGAAACUUUGAGGACGCCUGACAUGCAUCAUGCGAUGGAAGUACGCCUUGGACUUUCCAGGGGACCUGUCUGCCCAAGUUUCCUAUAAAACAAGUGGUUCACUUCUUGUCAAUUGCUAAUAGAGGACGUUGUCUGAACUUAUCAUGCCAUGUGACUGAGACAAUUUGAUUUAGGACCUGUCUGCCCAAGUUUCCUAUAAAACAAGUGGUUCACUUCUUGUCAAUUGCUAAUAGAGGACGUUGUCUGAACUUAUCAUGCCAUGUGACUGAGACAAUUUGAUUUA